GUGGCUUAAUUUGACUCAACGCGGGGAAUCUUACCGGGUCCGGACACACUGAGGAUUAGACAGUUGUCUUUCCCUCCCUUCGGGGUGGGAUUACAAAAGAUAACAGAUCUUUCAUGAUCAUGUGAUGGGUGGUGCAUGGCCGUUCUUAGUUCGUGGAGUGAUCUGUCUGCUUAAUUGCGUUUCAAAUUUUAUAUUUGUUAACAUGCGAGUCUUCAAUGACGGCCACUCCACCUUAUAGACAUUAUAUGAUAUGCACAUUUGUGUAUUUGAUUAUAACUUGUCUGGAGUCUGGCUCGAUUUUUUUGACUCAAUUGAACGCAACGGACGUGAUUGCAAGUCCUUGUUGAACAAAUUAUAUAUAUACUACUUCAUCAUUAGUAUAUAUAGUUCGCUUCUCAUGUCGUAGCAGUCAAACGGGCGGGCGUCUUAAUUGGCGCGGUCACGAGGCUUAAUAUGCUGCGGCUGGGGAAAACUUGGGCGACCGCUGUAAUACUUCUCUCUUAAACCAGAGGAAGAUUGCGGCAAUAACAGGUCUGUGAU
rnacentral:rRNA from 1 species